CUAAAGUUGUGUUUAGCGGUCUAACUUGCAUUUCAUAUAGAGUUAUACGUCCAAAGGUAGAGUUAAAAUAAGAACGACCAGUACUAGUAUUUUAACAUCUUCAAACUGUAAUAACUGAAUCAUAGAAAACCCAAAUAAGAAAACAAACAUAUCUUAAAAUAAAGUAUCUAACGUGAUAAGCAGGUCGGAAUCAAGUUGCUAUUGGGAGGUGCUGAAGGGUUUCCCGACGUGCUAGCUUGAGGUGCUUCCUAAAACCGACAUGCUUGCUUAAAUGAAAUGAACUUCUAAAUAUUAAAAAUGUAAGUUUAGUAGGUCAAUCUAUGAAUAUUGAAAGUUUAAAAACUAAAUUGAAACAUGUGGAAAAGUUUAGUAGGUGAAAGUGUGAAUAUGGAAAAUUUAAAAGUAAAAUUCCAAGUUUGCCCUCCACCUUUUUCUAUAUUUACACCUAACCCACCAUUUGACACCUAGCCAUGCAUGACUAAGCAUGAAAUGGAAAGUUGUCUUCAUUUGGUCCAUCCUUGCCGUGGCUACACCAAAAGGAAAGAGAAAAAGGCUUUUGCUUUCUUAACUUUCAUCUCCACCAUAUUUCUCCAAAAAGACAAAGCUUUCACCCAUGCACAAUCUGUUCUUAGGUGUUCUAACCAGCAAAGGAACCAUAGAAAGAAAGGAAAGAAGAAGAGAAGUUAAGGUGCUUAAGUGAACAAACUCAAAGGGAGGAAGGUACAUCAAAGGGGAAAGGCAAGGAAAAAGAGUAACUAAGGUGUACCUAAAGAUUUUGAAAAGAAUUGACAAAAGGUAAUAAAUAGAGGAAGCAACAGUUAGGAGGUCUGGUUCUGCAUCAGCACAGAGACAUCAUCAUAACCAGUUGUUCACAAGAUUUGUUCAGAGGUUGUUUAUGUUUGGCAUGUACAUUAAUAGUCUACCAAGAGUCUGUAAAUGAGUAUUGUAAAUAGUAUGAAUAUAACCAAAUGUGUUUACUAUUUUAAGUUAUUAUAUUCUAUUUGUGGUUUUAAUAGUGUGAAAUGAGUAAAUAUUGAAAUUUUAUGACUAGUUUUCACAGGGAUAAUUGCUAAUAAA